rnacentral:snoRNA from 1 species
GUUCCAUCAUGGGGACAUUCUAGGAUGUUGUCUUGAAAGCGCUCCCAUGCUUCUGGAACAGAUUCAUCAUUUUGUUGCUGAAAACUUGUAAUCUUCCCACGGAGAGC